GCACUUGUGCCCAGGGAGCUCCUCAGCCUGAUACCUGCCCCUUCCGUAUCUGAAUGCCUGUUAUUCAUCCGCUGCAGAAGCCGGGAGAUGCACAUAGUAGAAGAGUGUUUGACGGGAUACCUCAGAGGACAAGAAGCUGCAAGCCUAACAUGGAUCAUGUCUCAGUCGCAUCAGAUUUGAUCAGUGGUAAGUGUAUCUGAAACACUCUUUCUAUUCACGUUUCAGGUAAGGCGAGAAUUUACAUAUUUCAGAUAUAAAAAUAACUAUGCCUCUUGCACUCAGGCCCAUACAGUAAAGAACUGCCAGAUCUGGUACUGUGGAGGGGCACCUAACCACUGAGCCAUCUAUUCAGGCCUAGAAUAAAGAUUUUAAUGGUGGACCUAUUAAGGACACAGUCCUAGUAUCAGUAGAAUUAUAUAUCUCUUCAUAUUAGUGCUUUUUUCCUUCAGAAAUAUAUCACUAGACAGUUUUGUCAUUAUGUAACUACUACAGUAUGGGCAUACAUAAACCAAAGUCAGUCUCUUAUUGUGGCCUCUUCAAGGAAUUCAGAGAUACUAAAAAUACAGCAUCUAUGAGGUUAUUACAGGCAUGACAUAACAGAAUAUUUUAUAGCAAUCAUUUUUAAUAAAUAAGAGUGACAUCUAAAAAAAAAAUAACAAAAAUCCAGUCUAUUUAAAUUUUUAAAAAAAGGUAAUGUGUACUGUUCAUGAUUGUAUGUGAUCUGCUGGAACUACAAUAGUUUUGCUGACUCAGACCUCACCUCAAACACAUGGGUAACAUGUUUCACUGAUGUUACUAUAAAGCUAUGAUGUCAUACAAGCCACAUGAGUUUGUCAGCUCCAUUCUAGUCUCAAGAUUAUAUAUCUGUCCAGUCAUUGCCCAGAAAAUUGAUACACAUCUAUGCUUUUCAUUAAAUAAUCAUUACAAAGAAAAUGAUAUUCAUGUGCUCAAAAUCAUUUUAUCCAAGUCAAUGGUCUAGCAUUAAUAUAGUGCUUUAUUCUUUUUUUUUUUUUUUUUUUUUUUUUUUUGGUGUUUUCGAGACAGGGCUUCUCUGUGUAGCCCUGGCUGUCCUGGGAACUCACUCUGUAGACCAAGUUGGCCUCAAACUCAGAAAUCCGCCUGCCUCUGCCCCCCAAGUGCUGGGAUUAAAGGUGUGCGCCACCAUGCCCGGCUAGUGCUUUAUUCUUAUGAGUUCACAGCCUUAUAUACAGUCUAACCAGGGAAAAGGGUACCAUAAUUUAGUAAUAGAACAAAUUUGACACAGGAUACAGGAUACUGAGAGAAGUUCCUCCUGACUGAUUCAUGCCAGGGGAUGUAUUGGUCAUAGGAAAUUUGUCAUGAUUAUUUCCCUGACAUACAUAUGUGUCACUCCAAAAGUUAAGAAAGUAACGACUCACAAAGGAACAGGCACUCCGGCUAUUAGAAGAAAAGGUGACUUUUUGAAAACUUGCAUUGACAGGUCUUAACUUUAGUAUGUGGUGUUUGCCAAUUACCUUUGACUGGCUCUCAAAGAAGUGUGGUUGCAUUACCAGAUUAAGGUUAACAUUAUCUAUCAGGAUAAUUCAUUGACUGUAGCAUUUCUGUUGUUAAGGAUUCCCAAUAUGGUAAAGAAAAUGGAAAAGAAAUAGUUCAGCUGUGUUUUAAGUUAUUAAAGGAAGCAUCGUAUAAAAUACCUUAUUGUAACAAAAAGAACAUGAUUGUACCAUAACUACUAAAAAUGAGUACUCUAAACUAGAUUCUACUUGUAUCGUUUUCUUAUGGUUACCUUCUCUUUUUUUUUUUCAGAGCUUUUAAUUUUAUUUUAUCUGUGUGAGUGUAUUGUGUACAUGUGUAUAUGGGAAACAUGUGCAUUCCUGAUGCCAUGUAGGGUUGGAAGAAGGGAUCAGAUUCCCAGGAACUGCAUUUGAGGGUGUCUUGAAGCUACCCUGUGGAUACUGGAAACCGAACCUGGGUCCUGUACAAACACAAACAUAAUUAAUUGCUGAGCCAUCCCUCCAGUACCCAUUAUUACCUUUAAUACUCCAUCAGAGCACUAAAAUGUGUCCUUUUAAGUUUCAUAAAAAGACAAAUUAGUUUUAUGUUAUGUUAUUCCCUUUGUUAGGGUGAGAUAGUGCUACAGAAUUGUGAAGGAUCCUAAUCCAGAUUUUCUUAUGAAAACAGAACAUUCACGUAAAAAAAAAAACAACAUAGCUAAUUGUAUGAUCUUUUCUUCAAGUAACACAUACCUACCUAAAGACACAUACACAUUCCAAAAGCACCCUCACUGAUAAUCAUUCUUGCACUACCAAAAGACACCCCUCUUCUCCAAUGAGAAAUUACAUAAAAUCAUACACACACACACACACAGACUAGAUUUUUCACAAUAUCAGGAGCUCAGUGGUCUUCAGCUCACCUAUGGGAUUCUUAAACCCCCUCAACACACAUCAGUUACAUGCUAAUGUGAAGCUCCACCACACCACAGUCUGAUUACACGACCAGUUUCCAUGUUCUUUUGAUCAAGGUCUCAAUGAGGAUUGUAAGAAACAACAAAAGAAGAAAUUUUCAAGGAGAAAUCAUCUGCAAAGUUAUUUUUGCAAAUGUGUGGAGGUAACAAC
rnacentral:lncRNA from 1 species